GACUUACUGGAAAUGUUUGGAUCGUCCUCCAUCAGCUGUGCAGGGAUCCUCUCUGAUGGCUCAGUCGGUGAAUUGGCUUCUAGUCGAGUUAAAGGUGAGCUGGAUGAACUGUGCCGUGGCCUCUCUCCUCUGUAAACUCGGGACUUGAUGCAUCUUUUGUCCUGAGUUUAUUCGAAGCGAGCACAAGAAGAAUUGAGUUGUUAGAUCGACCAAUAACGUCGGUGUUUCCAGGCGGAUUUCCUCCUUUUUAAAAAUCAAUAAUAAACCUUUUCAUGAUGGGUCACUGUUUGUCCCAGACAUGUUUCUCACUUUUUAUCUUUUCAUUACCGGUCUGCCUCUGCCUCCUCUCUCCAUCUUCGUUCUUUAAACGCGCCAUCAUUUCAUCAUGUUACUCUCUGUCCAUCACCUCUUUCUCUUUUCACCCCUUCCUUCCCCUCUCUCCUUUUUCUUUCCAUCACUUUCUCCCACGUCGCCUCUCGGAUCCUUCAAUCUCUUUUCCCCCACGCUGUCACCUUUUCAUCCUUCCUCGUUGCCUCCUUCGCUUUCUAUCCAUCCUUCUUCAUCUCUGGCUAUUUUUCCCCUCUCCGUCCAUCGCUCUGUGUUUCUGCCUCCAUUAGGGGGAAAUGGAAAAAGUGACAUCAGCUAUUUGGUAAACGGAGAGAGAUGGAGGGAGGGAGAGAAGAGGAGAGGAUAGAAAAAUGGAAAGCAAAGAUCAAAACAGUGACAUUUGGACUGAUUGUGAAAGAGAGAAACAGGAAACGAGAGAGGAGAAAGAAGUGCGACAGAGGUGAGAGAGAAUUAAAGACAGGAGUGUGAGGAAGAUGGAGUGAGAGAGGUAGACAUCCAUUAGAGAGAGAGAGAGAGAGAGAGAGAGUGAGAGAAAGAGGGAAAGGCUUCACCUCAUUAACCUCGUAAUGCAGAGUAAAUAUACAGUCUAAAUGGAACAUGGACGAUGUGUGUGUGUGUUUACUCACAGGCUUCUGUGUGUGUGUGUGUGUGUGUGUGUGUGUGUGUGUUACAAUCCCAGGAAGAUGAUUUGACAUUUCAGGGAAGGUUUGUAUGUCACCAGCUGAAUUUAUUUUAUUUUUUUUUUACAGGAUCAGUCGACAAACUGACGGACGAGACUCGUUUCUAACGAACAGACACGGCUCCAGAAUAAUUAUAAUUAGUUCUUAAUAAGAAAAAAAUAUAUUUUUGAGCUUUGUUUUUUAAAGUAAUUCCCUAAAAACUCGUCACUGUAGUUCACACCAAGAGGAAUGAAAGUUCAGACCUCCAACAAAAACAACUGGUCAGUCAGCUACUUCGUUGUACAUCGUCUAAAUGUUAUUUAUAUUCUGUAACAUGAUGUGAACUUCUAAUUUCUAAGUCACACGCCACCGACUUAUUUCACUGAUUUUGGUGAAACUGGAUCAUAUUUUAUGGAGAAAAUUUUUUUUGGUUUUCCCUCUGCUCCGUCCAUCAACUCUCUGUGAUUUACAGAGUUUCCUGAUGGACAGUGAAGUAAACUGUAGCUGCUGUUAGCUAAUGUGUGCUCGGUUUGUUAACCUUUUGAGUUCAGAGCACCGGACAGAGUGUUAGUGUUUGGACCACCAGGCGUUUUUUGGACCAGCAAAUAGGUGGAGGAGGUUUGUUUAAAGGAAAAAGGAGGUUGACGGGGACAUAAUGACAGAGGUAGAGACCGAAGAGGACACAGCUAAGAAAAGAAAGAUAAGAAGCCGCCGGAUAUGAGUAAAUGUGGGACUGACUUUUAGUGGUUGGUGAAACAAAAGGCUCAAAGACGCCAAACUGGGCUCCAAAAAUCCUAAUUUUGUAAAACUUCUACGAAUGUUUCUUCAGCUGGAUGUUGAGAAAGGUUCGUUCGUUUCUGCCCUUUGAUAACGUUAGAGCUGGUCGAUCUUUUAAUACCAGGUUUUGGUACCAAUCAAAGUUUCAAUUUGUUCGAUCACCACUUUGGUUCUGACUGAAAUAUCUCAACAAUUAUUACACGGAUUUCCUCGAGAUUUCAUACAAACAUUCACGAUGCCCAGGAGAUCAAACCAACUGAAUUUGGUCAUUCCUUGAAUUUUCAUGUAGCACCACCGUGUUGGCGUUUGCGUCAAACGUCACACCAACUAUAUUCGGUCGAUUGGCCAAUACGUUCAUGUUCCCCUCUUGAUGAAUUGUCAUAUCUUUGGUGUUUCCAAGCUUGAAUACCUGCAAUAAUUCAUCUUCAGUGGUCUUUAAAUGCAGAAACAGGAAUGUGUUUUAGUUGUAGUAUCCAGGUUUAGGUCCGCACCCCCAGUUUUUCAAUGGGAUUGAC